GAUAUGCGUCCUGGUUCAGCUG
rnacentral:siRNA from 1 species